GCUCUCCUUAACUUUUCUUAGCGUUCUACAUGGCAUUACCAGGCGAGCUGGUGGCUCAGCUCUCAAUAAAGAGAACCCUGCCCGGCACAGAUUCCUGCCCCUCCAAAAACCCCGAGCCGCCCUCCUCACAGUCCGCUCUCUUACAGAAACACCGCCUUGCCGGCUUUGUUUUUCUGCCGUGCUGAGUGUUGCAGACCUCGUGUUAUCUUCCAGGCAGACUGACAAGGCGGCAGCACGGAGCAAUCGGCUUUCCAAGGAGUGAUUUAUGAGCCGCCAGCUCGGCCGUGAGCGCCUUGCGACUCCCCCGUGUGGCUCGCAGCCGCGGCCGGCCCAGCCCGGCCCUGCCCGGGAACACACAGCCCAUCGCUCCGCAACCAGCGCUGACCCCGAGAGAACAAUGCUGUUCUCCUGUGUUUCUGCUACAGGAAAAACAAAACGAAACUAAAGAUGUCAUAUUUGACGAACUGCGACGCUAUGGGAGGAAUUACGAGGAACUUGGCAUCCUCUUCUCCCAUUCAUCUGAAAUCAACAAAAAGAGAUGCUGAAAUUCUAAAAUGUUUUAAACCCUCCAACACUAGCUGUGAGCAGGAUGCACUAUAACCACCAGACCUUGAUGGCACGAAGAUAUGCAUCGUGAACAUGAAAUCUGGGAAGAAAAGAUAAGGGCACAGCCUUGCCACACUCCCACAGUAGCAAAACACUGUAGUAAGUAACAACUGCAUUUUUGUGGUAUUUGGUCACACCCCUCCUUGCACUGGCAAAACUUUGACUUGGAGCCGAGUAGGUGCAGUUCCAGGAAAGUGAAUGCCCAGUGGAGUUGUGCCCAGCUGCAGUGGAUCUGUACUCGAUGACAAUUGAAAAGAUGAAUGAAAAUCAUUUCGGUUGCAUUAGGGAUGUAAACUGUCAGGGAUUUGGAUUACUGCUUAUUCAACUUUCUGGACGGCAUCUUUACGCUUCCAAGAAAUCCUUUUUAGGCCAGGCAUCAAGAGGAGACAGGAUGAACUCCAAGCAAGAAACUGGAGUUUGCAGACAAGUAGCUCAUGCUCCUGACACUGGAGAAUAAGGGAAUGGAAAGCAAAAGUUGAGAAAACAAAGGAUACUUUGUGGGUGUGCUGUACUGCCAAACCUCAGCGGCCUGGAUACAUUGCUGUUGUUUAUCUAUCUCCAUCGGUGCUUAUGGGUAUGUAUUGAUCCGGAUAACUCAUGUCUGAGGGGUCACUGGGGCAUCUGAUUUUAUUCUUUUCUUUGGGAGGUUUAUUAAUAUUGACACUUCUUCAUUUAAUUGGGGCACUGACUAUGGAAUCCCUUUUUAAUGGAAUCAUAUUAGCUAAUGUACUGCCUGUCCACACUCAAAUUCAGAGUGCUUUACAAAAGCUUAUAUUGGAGUGACUGCUAGUGUUUUAAGCAAAAAAAACAAAAAACAAACCCAAACACCAAAAAUGCAGAUAUCUGAAACCAGAGAGGAAUAGCAAAGAGAGAACUAUGCUGUAAUCUGCAGUCUGCAUUUCUCUGUUGCAACACAGGGAGCCAAAAUAAAAUAAGAGUUACUUUUCCUGUA